rnacentral:sRNA from 1 species
GAGAGCUGCCGCCGCGGCCGGCCGGCGACGCUGGCGACGCUUUCGCCCCCGAGGUAGUUUGGCGACCGCGAAGAAGGAAAAAGUGCGGGCGGGCGGCUGUCCUCUCACCGUCCUCACCCCGCGAGGCCCGGCCCGCGCCUCUGUCGUGGAUUUCGCGGCGAUCCCCCCGGCAGCUCUUUGCAAAGCUGCUUGAAACUUCUCCCAAACUCGGCAUGGAUACGGCGGCGGCGGCGCUGCCUGCUUUUGUGGCGCUCUUGCUCCUCUCCCCUUGGCCUCUCCUGGGAUCGGCCCAAGGCCAGUUCUCCGCAGCUUCGCUUGGCUGGCGAGCGCAUCUGCUGCUGGGGUUCGCGGUGCAGAUGGAGACGCAGAGGUGGCCAGAGGGUGAUGGAGAAGACGGGAAAAGCGACAGCCACGCUCCUGGCUGAAGCCGCAGGACGCAAAUAACUUACUUUGUACCUGACAGUUUCUCACGUUGUUGUGGAGGCCCUGUUUCCUGGAAAUAAAUUGUUGUUUUCUG